rnacentral:rRNA from 1 species
CCAAAACGCCAAAGACGUGUACCGCCCGGCCGCAGCGGGUUCCCGAGCGGCGGGACAGGUGUCCUCGCGCUCCUUUCGUCAGCCGUCCGAUCGACGGCCACCCCCACGCCUCGCGGCGCAUCGGACGGCUCCCGCGCCCCGCUCCGCUCCGCUCCUGGUGAUCCUGUCGCCUACCUCUCGCCCACAUCCUUAUACGGUGCCAGCGCUUGUCGGGCUGUGGGGCUUUGGCUCUGACACAUCGGAACGGCGAGCGCGAUGGCGGCGGUGGCCGGAGCCGGGAGGGCGAGGGGGGCGAGCCUGGCGGCGGCCGUGCGGGCCGUCGCGGCGACGGCGCGCCCGGCGUCGAGCGCCGCUGCCGCGGCGGGGGUGAGCGUGGCGGCGGUCGUCCUCAAGGGGAAUGACACGCCAUUCGGGUCGGUCGGGUGGUGGGCGUACGCCGGCAUCUCCUGCUUCCUGGUGCUCUUCGCCGGGAUCAUGUCGGGGCUCACCCUCGGGCUCAUGUCGCUCGGCCUCGUCGAGCUCGAGAUCCUCCAGCGCAGCGGCACCGACUCCGAGAAGGCGCAGGCUGCUACUAUCCUUCCAGUUGUUCAAAAGCAGCACCAACUUCUUGUCACCCUGCUACUGUGUAAUGCUGUUGCCAUGGAGGCUCUUCCUAUAUUCCUUGACAGGAUUUUUCAUCCUGUUGUCGCUGUUGUCUUGUCAGUGACAUUUGUUCUUGCUUUUGGAGAGGUUAUACCACAAGCAAUCUGUACUAGGUAUGGGUUGGCGGUGGGUGCUAACUUUGUAUGGCUUGUACGUAUCCUCAUGAUCAUGUGCUAUCCUAUUGCAUACCCUAUUGGGAAGCUCCUAGACUGCGCUCUUGGGCAUAAUGAAUCUGCACUCUUUAGGCGAGCUCAACUGAAAGCUCUUGUUUCUAUACACAGCAAAGAGGCUGGUAAGGGUGGGGAGCUUACCCACGAUGAGACUACAAUCAUAAGUGGAGCUUUGGACUUGACUGAAAAGACUGCUCAAGAAGCUAUGACACCUAUCGAAUCAACUUUCUCACUAGACGUGGACUCCAAAUUGGAUUGGGAAGCAAUUGGUAAAAUUCUUGCCCGGGGCCACAGCCGUGUGCCCGUGUACUCAGGAAACCCUAGAAAUGUUAUUGGCCUCCUGUUGGUGAAAAGUCUUCUGACAGUUCGUGCUGAAACAGAGACACCAGUUAGUGCGGUUUCCAUUCGAAGGAUUCCGAGGGUUCCGGCGGACAUGCCUUUGUAUGACAUAUUGAACGAGUUUCAGAAAGGGAGUAGCCAUAUGGCUGCUGUUGUGAAGGCUAGACCAAAGAAUCCUCCAGCCGACACAACUGAACCAAACAUGGAAGCAGCUGGGGCAACACAGCUGACUGCACCCUUACUAUCCAAUGCUGAAGAAAGGGCGGAAAGUGUGGUUGUCGACAUUGAAGCACCGCAUAGCAGGCAGACUAAUGGAAACAAACACCACUCUGUGCAGCAAAACGAUAAGCCAUCGAAUGGAGUGGGUCGUUCAUCAGAGGACAUAGAGGAAGGCGAGGUCAUUGGUAUCAUCACACUUGAAGAUGUAUUUGAAGAACUCUUGCAGGAAGAGAUAGUGGAUGAAACCGACGAAUAUGUUGAUGUUCAUAAAAGGAUCCGGGUAGCUGCUGCUGCUGCCGCGUCAUCAGUUGCAAGGGCUCCAUCAGUUAGAAGAUUAACUGCUCAAAAGGCUUCCGUAAGUGCCAUUUUUUACUUACCAUGUGUGGAAGUGUUGAUGGGGGUCCUCUCCUCCCUUCUCAAUCUACUCUCAUUUAGAUAUUAGUACAUGUGCCUUUAAACAAAUCCUGAUACUAGUACAUGGUAAAAUAUUAUUACGUGUAGGAAACUGGUUGAAAUAUGAUUAUAUGUGCAUUUUAACAACAGAAGUACUAAAACGGUAUACUUAUGAAAUAAGAGAUGACUAUAAUCUUGGUCUUCUUGUGCAGUCUUUGAUCAAUUUUCUUUUGUACAAUAUGCACCAUCCCCAUUCUAAACAGCCUCGGAAUUGGUCAAGGGGCUAAAGCAGACAGUUUUGGUGUUUAAGGUCUGUUUCAGACGGUUUUUAAGUUUAGGACCAAAGGUGGAGUCGAGGCAAAGUUCAAUGCCCAAAGUGGAUCCUUUGUCUUUUCGUUGUUUUCACUUUCGAGUUCAGUUUCCUAUAGGCUUCUAGCUAGCAUCUGAGUUGUGGCGAUUCUUUAGGCCCUGUUCGUUUAAUCCCCUCGCCACAGGGAUUGAAUGGGGAUUGGGGAGUUUUGAGGGUUUUUUUGACUUGCAAGGGAUUUAAUCCCCUUCAAUCCCUUUCAAACCUCUCCAAACCCUGCCAAACCGAACAAGGCCUUAGGAGUCUACCUCUACAAAAUACUGCAUCUUCUAAAAGUAAAUUAUAGCAUACAAAGUUAAAUUUGAUAUAUAAAUUUCUGUUGGCAGUGUUAAUCUUCUUCCAUUUUUACCCAUAUGCUCGUUGGGCAUUCUUUUCCUGGUUACACUGAAUGUUUGGUGAAAGUUAUUUCGUAAGCUUUUGUUAUAUAUGAACUGUUAAGUUGGAAUUGCCAAAUUUCUGUAGAAGUCAGUCUUACUCGAACUUAUAUUGUUGCACAUAAAACACAUUCUUUGCUAAAUAGACUGCAAUUUAGUCUUAUCUUUAUAAAAAAUAUAUAACCGUUAGUCUUGCUUCUAUGAUAAUUGCUAUUUUUUUUGAACCUUCAAAGACAGUAGGGAAGGUUCCUACUGACAUGUAUUAACUCAUGAAUCACAAUCCACAAUUACAUGAUGGUGUCUCACCCUAUUCCUUCUCUCGAUAACUAUUCCGAUGGUCCAUCUUAUGCGAAGGUCAAAAGAUGUUAAAUUCGCUUUCAUUGCAGGGAGCGCAGAGCCGGCAAGGGCAGGCUGGACAGCCUGCUGGAAUUUUGAAAAAGCCUGCUACUGAAGGUGAUUCAAACCCAUCAAAACAGGUGAACCUUGUCGAACCUCUGCUGGAAAAUAGGAGGUAAUUGUAGAUGUCUCGCAUAAAUAGAGCGACGGGACGCAUGGAAGCAUGUUGUGAUGUUGCUAUAUCCAGUGAGAGUAAAUACGAGUUUGCUCGCUGUAAAUUUCCACAGUAGCAAUUUGAACCUUGUCAUGAAUGUCACUAUGUCAGCGUUGGGAUUCAUCACUGGGACGGUAGCAACUACUGACAUUUGGGAAUCAUAGACUUGGAACUAGUUCAAAUGAUAAAUUAGAUGUGUCCGCAAACUUUCUGAAUGUCAAGCACGUGGAAUAUUAUAAGGUGGAAUGCCUACACGGUGUGCCUGACUUCAAAUCGACUAUUGGCGUAGUCAACAAAAUCCCGGCUCAUGUACGAGCAUUCGACAACAUUUUGUUAGCAUCAGUUUUUUUUUUAAAUGGAGUAUAUGUUUCUCUUUCAAGUGAGCUACUGUUGAAUUUUAUUUUGGCACUGGAGAGAAUAUUGCGUGCGAUUUUCGUGCUUGUUGGAAAAUACGAGCGGUCCGAGUGGAAGUGAAGUCCAGACCGACAUGGCCUUGCGUAUGCCAAGGCUUCCACCACCCCUUUCCGGAUAAAACAACGUUUGUCUUCCUACGCUGCGUAGGUUACGUGUGCUCUACUCUUCCUAUAUCUCGAUCCUUCCUUCCACUCUGGUCUCUUUCUAAGAAAAGAAUGAACUUGGCUGCCAAGAUACCUGCACAACUAAAGCGCGUCGGGUUCCCAUCCGACUCAGUUCCGGGCCUCGCCUUACAUAUACGCUACCAUAAUCCACGAAACGGCAGCCGAGCAAUCGAGCACAAGGAUGCGCUGACGAACCCGGCCGAUCGACCCCCCGACCAGCGGCGCCCCCGACGCGCGCGCCUCCGUACGUGGCAGAGAUGACGAUGUCCGGGCGGUACGUGGCGGCCACGGGCGCCCUCAUGGCGUGCGGCCACUGCGGCGGCCUCCGACGCGUCAGGAUGGAGGGCGAGUUCGUCUCCUGCGACUCGUGCGGCAAGGUCCUGCAGCAGCGGGGCCGGAAGCAGCGCGCCGUGGAGGUGGAGGCUCGGCGGCGGCGGCGCUGGUUGGGGGGCAGGAAGAGACGGGACGGCCGCGCGGCGGCCGGUGGCGGAGGCAUGGUCGUCGGACGGGAGGCAUCUGAUGCCGAGUCCGACACUGGUUGUGUUUGUUUCGUGGAAUCGUCGUCGUAGUGAUUGCGUCCUCCUCAACUGAUGUUUUAGAGCAGUUUGUGGAUUCUGGGCUAG